rnacentral:lncRNA from 1 species
AUAUGGGUGGUGGUUGGUGCUUUGAUGGGGUGUAGCAGCAUAGUUAGAGAUCCGAUAGCGAGCGACCGACGACGGUGGGGCAGGGGACAGCCGAUGACGUGGAUUGGCUAGCUAAAAAUCAUGAAAAAAUGGUCAAAAUAAGGGAAAGCAUUCUUGAUGGAAAUCUGAUGGGAUUUCAAUGAAUCCAAUGGUUGGUGGCGCUGCUAUGGUC